UCUUCGUUCAAGUAGUAGCGAGAGUACGCGGGAACGUCCCAGACUUGCGGCAUCUCGUCGCCUAGUUCGUUGACGAGGACCUUGCUGUAUGCAUACUGGGAUGUGAAGUAUUGGAGUACAGCAUAUGAAGUAUUGGGGUAUAGCAUACUGGGAUGUGAAGUAUUGGGGCACAGCAUACUAGCAUGUGAAGUACUGGAAUUUGAGAUGGAAUUGCAGAGCGAUAGGGCACGUUGGAAUAUGGAACAUAUGGAACCCUUUGUAGGGAUACAAGGCACAGGGAUACAAUACAUAAGAACACAGGACCUUCAGAUACAGUAGAGCACUAGAAUAUGAGUAGAAUAGUGGAGCAAAGCACUGAGAUACAGAGCUCUAAGAUAUAAAAUGUGGAAACAUAACAAAUAUUUGUCCACCAUAAAAAUUAAUAUAUAUCUCCUGUAAUAACAUUAUGCAUCCAGUAUUUAUAUCUUCAUUUAUAGGCUAAUUUUACCAGCAAUUACAAGGGAGGAAAGGAAUCACGAUCGUACAUGGCAUUGUUAGGAGUAUUAGAACGAGACUUCUCCUCUUCGGCCAAAGCUGCCUUCAGUCCACCUAAUCCUGCCGAGGCAAGAGUUCCUGUAACACAAAGAAAGGGUGUAACAAAUGAUAACA